CCGCGAAUGGCUCAUUAAAUCAGUUAUGGUUCCUUAGAUCGUUUCUUUCUACUUGGAUAACUGUGGCAAUUCUAGAGCUAAUACAUGCAGGAAACCUGAAGGCCUUUGGCUGACGGGUGCUUUUAUUAGACCAAGACCCAUCGGGUUCUGCCCGUACUCUGUGGUGACUCUGGAUAACUUUGUGCCGAUCGCACGGCCACGAGCCGGCGACGUUUCUUUCAAGUGUCUGCCUUAUCAACUUUCGAUGGUAGGUUACUUGCCUACCAUGGUUGUUACGGGUAACGGAGAAUCAGGGUUCGAUUCCGGAGAGGGAGCCUGAGAAACGGCUACCACAUCCAAGGAAGGCAGCAGGCGCGCAAAUUACCCACUCCCGGCACGGGGAGGUAGUGACGAAAAAUAACAAUACGGGACUCUUUUGAGGCCCCGUAAUUGAAAUGAGUACACUCUAAAUCCUUUAACGAGGAUCAAUUGGAGGGCAAGUCUGGUGCCAGCAGCCGCGGUAAUUCCAGCUCCAAUAGCGUAUACUAAAGCUGCUGCGGUUAAAAAGCUCGUAGUUGGAUCUCAGUUCCAGACGAGUAGUGCAUCUACCCGAUGCGACGGCUCGGACUGAACAUCAUGCCGGUCUCCUCUUGGUGCCCUUCAUUGGUGCGUCUCGAAGUGGCCGGUGCUUUUACUUUGAAAAAAUUAGAGUGCUCAACGCAGGCGAGUCGCCUGAAUAAACUUGCAUGGAAUAAUGGAACAAGAUCUCGUUUCUGUUCCGUUGGUUUUUGGAAUACGAGAUAAUGAUUAAGAGGGACAGACGGGGGCAUUCGUAUUGCGGCGCUAGAGGUGAAAUUCUUGGACCGUCGCAAGACGAACUACUGCGAAAGCAUUUGCCAAGAAUGUUUUCUUUGAUCAAGAACGAAAGUCAGAGGUUCGAAGGCGAUCAGAUACCGCCCUAGUUCUGACCAUAAACGAUGCCAACCAGCGAUCCGCCUGAGUUACUCAAAUGACUCGGCGGGCAGCUUCCGGGAAACCAAAGUAUUUGGGUCCGGGCGG
rnacentral:rRNA from 1 species